UACAGAGGGUGCGAGCGUUAAUCGGAAUUACUGGGCGUAAAGCGCGCGUAGGCGGCUUUGCAAGUCGGGUGUGAAAUCCCCAGGCUUAACCUGGGAACUGCAUUCGAGACUGCAUUGCUAGAGUAUGGGAGAGGGAAGUGGAAUUUCCGGUGUAGCGGUGAAAUUCGUAGAUAUUGGGAAGAACACCGGUGGCGAAGGCGGCGCUCUGGACCGAGACUGACGCUGAGGCGCGAAAGCGUGGGGAGCAAACAGG
rnacentral:rRNA from 1 species